rnacentral:rRNA from 1 species
UACGUAGGGGGCUAGCGUUGUCCGGAAUCAUUGGGCGUAAAGAGCGUGUAGGCGGUUCGGUAAGUCCUCUGUGAAAGUCCAGGGCUCAACCCUGGAAUGCCAGUGGAAACUGCCGAGCUAGAGUCCGGAAGAGGCGAGUGGAAUUCCUGGUGUAGCGGUGAAAUGCGCAGAUAUCAGGAGGAACACCAAUGGCGAAAGCAGCUCGCUGGGACGGUACUGACGCUGAGACGCGAAAGCGUGGGGAGCAAACAGG